rnacentral:tRNA from 1 species
AAAAAAAUUAGUUAAUUUAUAUAUAACAUUGAGAUGUCAAUUCAAAGUAACUUAAAGUAUUUUUU